UACGGAGGGUGCAAGCGUUAAUCGGAAUUACUGGGCGUAAAGCGCGCGUAGGCGGGUUUGCAAGUCAGAAGUGAAAUCCCCGGGCUCAACCUGGGAAUAGCUUUUGAUACUGUGGACCUUGAGUUCGGGAGAGGGUGGCGGAAUUCCAGGUGUAGGAGUGAAAUCCGUAGAUAUCUGGAGGAACAUCAGUGGCGAAGGCGGCCACCUGGCCCGAUACUGACGCUGAGGUGCGAAAGCGUGGGUAGCAAACAGG
rnacentral:rRNA from 1 species